GAUGACGUAACCAUGACGUCACUCACCCACCUGGCGGCCCGUGAAUGAGUGAGUACCUUUAUCAACACAUUUACCUGUUGUACCUGGGACUGGAUUCUCAAAUAUUUCAAGGCCUUCACAUCCUUCCGACACCCACUCACAUAUGGCAAGACUCUCAUUAUUGUGUUAGUAUUUCCAUGGGUAGUGUUAUGAGCCUGGUGAUAGUGUGACAAGGCUUUGGUGGAGGUUGUUGUGUUAGUAUUUCCAUGGGUAGUGUUAUGAGCCUGGUGAUAGUUUGACAAGGCUUUGGUGGAGGUUGUUGUGUUAGUAUUGCCAUGGGUAGUGUUAUGAGCCUGGUGAUAGUUUGACAAGGCUUUGGUGGAGGUUGUUGUGUUAGUAUUUCCAUGGGUAGUGUUAUGAGCCUGGUGAUAGUUUGACAAGGCUUUGGUGGAGGUUGUUGUGUUAGUAUUGCCAUGGGUAGUGUUAUGAGCCUGGUGAUAGUUUGACAAGGCUUUGGUGGAGGUUGUUGUGUUAGUAUUUCCAUGGGUAGUGUUAUGAGCCUGGUGAUAGUUUGACAAGGCUUUGGUGGAGGUUGUUGUGUUAGUAUUGCCAUGGGUAGUGUUAUGAGCCUGGUGAUAGUUUGACAAGGCUUUGGUGGAGGUUGUUGUGUUAGUAUUUCCAUGGGUAGUGUUAUGAGCCUGGUGAUAGUUUGGCAAGGCUUUGGUGGAGGUUGUUGUGUUAGUAUUGCCAUGGGUAGUGUUAUGAGCCUGGUGAUAGUUUGACAAGGCUUUGGUGGAGGUUGUUGUGUUAGUAUUUCCAUGGGUAGUGUUAUGAGCCUGGUGAUAGUUUGACAAGGCUUUGGUGGAGGUUGUUGUGUUAGUAUUUCCAUGGGUAGUGUUAUGAGCCUGGUGAUAGUUUGACAAGGCUUUGGUGGAGGUUGUUGUGUUAGUAUUUCCAUGGGUAGUGUUA